rnacentral:rRNA from 1 species
ACUCGAUAAUCCACGUAUACCUUACCUUCUAUUGACUUCCAGCAUGUGUACUGCCGUUGUAAGCAUACCUCUAAAAGACAAGUAUGCCGCUAUGAUUAAUAUAACUCAUAUACAUCAGGUCAAAGUGCAGCUAAUAAGAAGGUGAUGAUGGGUUACAACCCUAAAAUAGAUUAUCAACUAAGAAAUAAAAAAUUUUUACGAAAGUGGACUUGGAUGUAACAAAUUUACAGAAUAAAAAAAUGAAUAAAAAUCUAAGACAUGUACACAUCGCCCGUCACUCUACCCCAAAGGCUAGAUAAGUCGUAACAAAGUAGGUGUAAUGGAAAUUGCACCUGUCGAAGUAUAGCAUAUAAAAUGCCUUUUACUUACACUAAAAAUAAAGUCAAUGACUUGCUUCGCCCAAGACCUUAAAUCCUCCAAUUUUUAUAUAAUAAAAACAAUUAAACAAAUACAUAGUAAUAAAAAGUACAGAAAUGGAAAUAAUAAUAAAUAAAAGUAAAUUUUAACAAAUGUACCUUGUGCAUUAUGGUUUUACAAGAAAAUAAUUAAAAACAAAAUCCCGAAUUCUAAAUGAGAUGUUAAAUUGCUGUUAAGAACCUAUUAGUAACUGUAGAAUAAGCUUUAAAAGACAAUUUAACAGAGGCUACAUACCAUCCGCAUAAGAAUAUAGCUGGUUUUCAACAAAUAUUAUACAUUAAAACAUAUAAUCAUAUUAUAGUGUAAUGCUAUUGAGGAUAAGCCCAACAGCCAGUGGCAAUACAAUAAACAAAAUCUAUUUUAUAUUAUAGGCCUAAAAUCAGCCAACCAGAAUACUUUACCGUAAUAAAUUAUGAUAAAAUACAUAACUAUUAAAUAUGCUAAAUAAAGUUGAAGUUAUGAACAAACUAACCAAUACAUAAAAAUUAUGUAAAAAUAAGUAUUAUAUAAAACUAUUACUAUAUUAAUCAAGUAAAUUAAAAACACAAAACCCAAUAAUUAAUUAAGGAACUCGGCAAACCACUAUUUCGACUGUUUAACAAAAACAUUGUCUCAUGAACCUAAUAUGAGAUAAUACCUGCCCA